CGACCAUGCCGUGGUUCGCGAUCGGCGGUGUCGAUGCCGAGCGACUGCCCGAGGUGCUGGACGCGGGCGCGUCGCGGGUGGUCGU
rnacentral:tRNA from 1 species